GAGGUUUAUCGUUUUGGAUGAAAGGAAGAGGAGAUGCGCUUGUCUGAUCGGCGGUUCAAUCUAUGUUGCUACUAAACCUUUUGCGAGACUUUUUUUUCCUUUCAAUUUUGCUGUUUUUUAUUCGCGAUUAAAGUUUAUUUAGAAUUUAGCAGUCAAAGCUAAGGACAGGGUGAGGUUUGUAUGAGCGUUACGAUGUGCAGGCUGAUCAAGACCAGCGCGAAAUUUGAUUGUGAUUUGUGUGUGGAUAGAUAGACCCAAGGAGGAGAGGAUUUCGAUUUGAAUUGCCGUCCGUACAGAGUGUUAAAAAAGAUUAACGUUCGUACACAAUCGGGGCCUGGAAUCCUGGAUCACAUGUUUUUUUUUUCCUUUUUACAUGAAUGAAUCACGUGAAUUUGGUUGGUAGCAGUUUAGCUCCUGUAAAAGCCAGCAAAAAAUCCCCCUGUUCAGAUGAGGGGCCUUGAUUCUCAGUCUCAGUUUGAGCUCAAGCUGUUGGGGUCCAAAAUCCAAAUUAGCUGCCACAAAAGACUGCAUGGCUCUGGUUUCCUGGGGGCUGCAGAUGGGGCGAUAUUUAGGCAGUAGGUAUUGGUAGGGUGCUCUCAUCCUCAGCUUUCACAAAAAUGGUUAUUGUGAGGAGCCCAAAGUAAGAAAUAAGUGCAAGAUCUAGCCUCGUUUAGCUUGUGGUGGCCCUUCCUAUCCAUGGACCAUGGUCCUGUCACUUUCAUUUGCCCAAGAGUGGGCAGUAGGCACUUGUAUUUGGUAACUGGGGAUGGGUAUAAUUUGUAUAACAGAUCAUAGGAAAGUGAUACUAAGCCGAAUAAUAUGAUUACAAUUGAUCCAACAUCCAAGUAUUGUUAAUCCUUCAUCUAUCUUGUUGAACUACACAUACAAGGUUUAAUUUUCUUAUUUUGUUUAGAAAUGAUGACACUGCACGCAGAAAAUGUUCUAUCAUGUUAUUAGAUGUAAAAUUCCAGCUGCAGUUUUAUUUGAUUUGAAGAUCUCUUCUGUUAAAGAGUUUCUUACUAUGAUCUUGUAGGGUCAACACAAUGAAAAAGAAGAUACAGAAGAUAGUGAAAUGGAGGUUGACACGCCACAAGAGAAGGGUAGUGAAAUGAAGGUUGACACGCCACUAGAGAAGGGUAAUGAAAUGAAGGUUGACACGCCACUAGAGAAGGGUAAUGAAAUGAAGAUUGACACGCCACAAGAGGAGAAGGGUAAUGAAAUGAAGUUUGAUGCAUCAAAAAAGGAACAGGAUGGUGAAAUGAAGGUUGAUGCACAACAAGAGAAAAAAGAUGAGCAAAUGAAAGUUGAUGCACCACCAAGGGCAGAAAAUAUACAACCAGGCACUUCACCUAGAUCAGAUCAUAAGAAAGAAGAUCAGGGCCAGAUGAACAGUACUGAAGAUAAAGCGGCAUCAGACCCAAAGGGGGAGAGUGAGAAGGCAAAUGACGAAUCAGGUCAGGACAAGACACUUAAGAAGCCAGAUAAGAUUCUACCUUGUCCUCGGUGCAACAGCAUGGAUACAAAGUUCUGCUAUUACAACAACUACAAUGUUAACCAACCUAGGCACUUCUGUAAGAAUUGUCAGCGGUACUGGACUGCAGGGGGCACUAUGAGGAAUGUACCUGUUGGUGCUGGGCGGCGCAAAAGUAAGAAUGCACCAUUGCACUACCGCCAAUUACUGAUGGCCCCUGAUUGUAUGCUGGGCUCUAGAGUGGAUAUAUCAAAGUCAGUGCUCCCUGAAGCUCUUGUGUCUCCACCUUCUGCCCCGGUACAGCCAACCAGUCGAAAUGAAACAGUUCUCAAAUUUGGGCCUGAGGUGCCACUUUGUGAAUCACUGGUGUCAGCACUGAACAUUGAUGAGCAGAAUGCAAAGAACCCUGGAUCAGCGCCAAGAGGUGAAAAUAGGGAAGACAACUCUUGUGCAUCAGCUGUCACAUCAUACAAUGGACUGCCUGAAAACACAGUUCAUGUCGAUAAGAAUGGAGCACCCGUUUAUUGCAAUGGAGUUGCCCCAGUUCCACAGUAUUACCUUGGAACCCCUUUCAUGUACCCUUGGAGUGUAGGAUGGAACAAUCUCCCUGUGAUGGUGCCAGGUAAAAGUAUGCCUGAAGCUGCUUCUGCUUCAGAGAGCUGCAGUACUAGUUCAGCUCCAUGGAUGACCUCUCCCAUGAUGCCGGCCUCAACCUCACCAGCAUUUCCGUACCCUCUUGUGCCACCUGCGCUUUGGGGUUGUUUGUCUGGAUGGCCAGCCACGACAUGGAACAUACCGUGGGUCAGAACUAAUGGUUGCGUGUCCCCAUCCUCCUCAAGCAACAGCAGCUGCUCAGGCAAUGGAUCUCCUACUCUGGGUAAGCAUUCCAGGGACUCUAAUCCGUUGAAAGAUGAGAAGCAAGAGAAAUCAUUGUGGGUUCCAAAGACACUCCGGAUCGAUGAUCCUGAUGAGGCUGCAAAGAGUUCCAUAUGGGCCACCCUUGGCAUCAAACCUGGAGAUCCUGGCACCUUUAAGCCUUUCCAGUCCAAGGUCGAGAGCAAGGGCCAGAAAGCGGACGCUGCUCAGGUUUUGCAGGCGAACCCAGCAGCACUAUCGCGCUCGCAAUCGUUCCAGGAGAGUUCUUGACUCCAUGCCUUCAGUCUAUCUUAUAGUUUUGGUACUGUAUAAUCUUUGUAUAUUAGAAGAGUUUUGCGGUAUGUGAAAAGAUCAGCAGAGAGCUUCUUGUAUAGCCACUAACUUGGUGGAACUUGCAAAGAGCUUUCACGAGAACCCUUUUCGAGACAUAUAUAUGUAUUGUAAAUACUUGACAAACUGGUGGUGUAUAUUUAGUUUCAAGUCGGGACUCGGGAAGACUUACCUGGCUUGGCUCUCUUAGUAUAUUGGUAUAAGUUGUAAACGGUUAACAGUGUAACUGAUAAUAUUCCAGUGAGUGCCAGAACAAAUAUUCUCAAAUAAAUCAUUUCAAAUGCCAAUUGCAUCUUACAGUUUCACUGUACUCGCAAAGUAAAUUUGGACAUGUUCAAUUUUUAUGUCUAUGAACAAAUGACAUGCUCAUGAAAGGACAUCAGGUUAACACGAUUUAGUUAGUUUCUUAGCACAGCUCAAUCAAUUAUGAUAGCAGUGCAAGCAUACGCCAUUUUAAAUUAAAAUCGAUACUAACGGUUCUGCACUGAUGCAAAUAGGACGUCAAAUAGCCAAAGGUACACAAGAAAGCUCAACAUAACUAUCCAGGUUCUGCAACACCUGUUUCCACAAGAUACAAAAAUGGUAAGACUACCCGCAGGGUAGAAAUAAAAUCCUUCUUUCUGUUCUCAACGGUACUAUGUUACAUGUCUGAAAAAACACUGUUCCACGCGAUUGUUGUACAUGUACUUUGUCAGGUGACGACAUUAGAAACAAUCUAUGCUACCUCAAAGAGUCUCGAGUGUUCGUUAGAAUCUAGCCAUCGUAGGAAGAACAUCCAAUGUGAUAGGCCUCCUGAAGAUCUGGUCCAACAUUUGAAGUCUGGUGAUAGGGGCGGUGGACUGGUGGCAAAAGCAAAGCCAAUGAUUUGUCCAUCAUCAGAAGCCGUCGGCAUUUGCUGCAUACAUAGUAAUCCAAGCAUUACUUAUGUGCACAUCAGAAACACAGAAAAUGCCAUAAGCAUGGGAGUUAGAUCUCAAGGAGUAUUACCUGCAAACCUUUGUAAACAGAGUCUGAUAGCUGGCAAUCCAACGCUGCAAGGCAAUGAAUGUUUUUAGUAACAGACAAUGUCCAAAAUGACGAACAACAGUGUCAGAACUAGGAAUGGCGUCCAUCAAGCUUUUGGAAAUGCUUCUUCUCAAAUAAAAUGUCAAUUUAGUGGAUUACUAAUAUGAAGGGAUCAGAAAUUAUUGUAACUUACCAAAAGCAGAGAUAGUGCUUUACUGGGCUCCACACUGAUAAAGUACUGCAAUGCCUUGUCAGCAUGCUCCUUCAUAAUCAUAAUAUUCUAUUAGUCUCACCCAUCUUUCGCUUCUAGUGCCUCAUAUGAGAACAAAAUCAUACAAAGACACAAGAGUAUGCACUUACCUUUACAUGCUUAAAUACAUGAUGCAUUGACACGCCUCUUGCAUGAAGGUAGCUUCCUCCCUGGUGGAAUAUUAAGAAUGAUGUGUCAAAAAGGAUAUCUUGAUCACCAAUUUUAUCAGCAAUCAGCAAAGUGACUGAAGUUUCCCAUAAAAAGUAUUAUGGAAACAUACUAAAAGCCUAAAACAAUGAAGUGAUCUUGGUACAUACACAACUUAUAAUCAGACAUAUACUGUGAAACACAAGUGCAUGCCUGCGUAGUUUCUCAUGCAAAGCUCACAACUGAGCUGGACAGAGGAAGCUUUUGGAAGACAUUAUUACCUCGGUGGGGGAGAAGAACGCCACUGCAUCAGGAUCAGUAGAUCCAGCAGGGUGUAACGACACUAUAGCCCGAAAUAUUGAAGGAACCAGCAACUCAAUUACUGCAACCUGGUCCAUGGAAGUUGUCAGAGCACUGGAUCUCAAAUUGCCCGUAUUUUGCAAGUUCAACUCCUUAGAUGGAUCUACAAAGUCAUCAUCCAUCAGAGAUGCUAACGAUGAAGCUCUUUUUGACCAAUCCAGAUGCCGGUAUGUGAAUAUUUUCAUGUUAGGCACUUCAUUUUCUAGAUUUUUCAGUAUUUCAGAUAAAGAUUCUUCCUCCUGCUCUCCAUUGCUGGCAGAUAAUCUUGGCUUUUUGGUGACACCAGGUUCGCCAUCAUGGAGAUGGCUAAGGACUUCAUCUUCUAGAUGAGGAAAAAAUCUUCUUUUCUGGUCAGUGAAGGCCUUUAGAGCUAACCUGAAAACAGCAUGGGGUAAGCUCAACAUCGUCAACAACCUGAAUGAUCAUAAAUGAAUAAUGCGAAACAAGACAUUCAUUUCCCUAGUUUUCUGCCAAGUCUAUAAAGUAGCAGGAGAUGAUUGGGUGCCACACAUAAUCACCACGAAUACCACCCAAGUCAUCACAACAAACAGGGAUGCUUGGAGGCCAUGAUUACGACCGGAGCACCACCUAAUUAGGACACUACGACAAGACCCUCCAAAAAUAAAGAAUCGUAAACUGGACCUAUUCCUUAUCCCAAAAUGGAAUAAAAAAACACCAUGGAACAAUUUCUAGAUAUCUACUAAAAGUAGAAAAGAACACUUUUGUGUCAAACUCCUUGGCCUCUUUCUAUAAAGACUGGUGGAUGAUUGCAAGCACCAUGUAUGGUACUGAUAUCUAAUAAACAUGCUUAUGAACAUAAAACUGUGACGUUCCAAUGCCAUUCUAAGUUAAAAAAAAACAUAUGGAUGAAUUGGAAAAAGAACAUUCUGCUCAGCACACUAAGUAGCAAUAAUCCUAGCACUGAAAAGAAAAAACCAGUUGUAGAUGAACGGGGUAGAUGGUUUUUUGCAAACUGAAGGGAAAGUUCAAAAUUAGAUAGAGAAAGCAAGGUUCAAAAUUAAAAUACAGAUGAAAAAACGAUGAAUACAUUGGCCAUAGAUUAACUCGUAAAAUUCACUCAUGAGAGCACCUAUGCUAUUUGCAAGUCAUGGAUAUUCAGAAUUGAACUCCACUGCACAAAAUUCAGCUGUCACAAAGAACCAUAUUACAGUGGAAUAAACGUUAUAAACUGCAUUCUGUUAGUGUGAAAAUGUCAGACGGCAACAUUAAAUUAAUAGGGGGAAGAAGCACACCAUGCUGAAGUAGUAGCUAAAGAAUACAACAAAAGAUACCAAGUAAAGAAGCAUACCUAGUUCUGUCCACAGCAGAUGCACCAGCCUGACCUGCCAGUUGACGCUUCCAAGCAUAAGCUACAACAGCACCAUCUGGGCAAACAAGUGGCAUGUGCAAGCCCCAUGAAUUUCCUCGAGCUUUAAGGGCCCCAUUAAGAACUCCAGAUUCCUCUAAUUGCCUUCCUAACAUUAAAAGAAGGAAUUAUUCACAGACAAAAAAGAAUCGCUAAAAGGUAAUGCAAGAUAUUUGGUAGUCUACACUUAAACAACUUGAGCAAGUUCGACAAUUCAAAUGACUAGCCAGAUUAAUGAUGAAGAAACAGUUAAAUUCUAUAUGAAAGUUUCAAAAAGGAAAAUUAAUUUCUUAGUACAAACGCAUAGAACCUACAAACAGUGCAACGCCUACAAUGUCCAACUAAAAGUGAAAGCAUGAUAAACACAACAAAACUACAACUUAUCCAUGGACCAAAAGGUGAAAGAUGAUGCCCUUCAGCAUCUUAAGUCAGUUUACUAGGAGAAUAAUUGCAAAAAGAAAGUAACUGAAGCACAUGCCCUUGCCCAUGCAUUUCAAAUCUUGUGGUCAACUAAAUUCAAUAUGGUUGCAGAUACCUUUAUGAACUCCAAGUAUCCUGGGUCACAAUAAAGAUGGUGUAUUGGCCAUAACUUAGUAACCCCUGGUUUAUCUAGAUCGCUGGAUUCCUAUCUUAAUGAAAUGACAUGCAGCUUUCCUGCGUUGUUCGAGAAAAAAAUCUAGAUCGCUGGACGAUGUUUGAUCUUUUUCUUUGUUUUUGUUUUUUUCCUGGCUUUUGAUUUUGUAGGGACCAUCCUUUAUUACUUCUUAAUACAUGGACGAGCAGCUCUCCUGCCCGUUUGAGAAAAAAAGUCCAGGUUUUUCAAAAAAACACUCUUAUGACUAGAUUGCCUGUAUAUUUCAUUUGCCUUUUAUCUAAUGACUUCACAGUUUUGUUGACAUGUAACGUGUUCCAGAAAUGCAAAAUAAUCCCAACCAAAUAGAGUAAGGCCACUCAUCUUGGAAAAAUAUAUUUUGCAAAAGGUGCUCUUCCCAACAAGUCCAAACUACAGGCAGACAGUCAACAGGAACAUUAAAAGAUUUUUCAUAAAAAAUAACUAAGCUAAAGAUGUCUAAGAAAUAACCUUCAGAAAACAAAGCAAGCUCCAAAACUAAGAACAACGAACAGAGCAGAUCCAGGUUCCAACAUAACAGUAGUACUAAAGUCAACAUAACUAAACAAACCUAAAUAAAAUAUUAAGUGUGCAUAGCUAAUGAGCUACUGGCCCGAUACCUAAAAACUAUAAUUUCCUACCAAAUCAGCAGAAAGCAGUUCCGGAUCACAGCUAUCAAUUUCCUAAACAUCAGAUGGACAAUAUCAACGGUGCUAUUUUGAAUCUCUCAUCAGCAGCAGACGGGUCAGAGUUGUUUUGGGUUAAAUUUGAUAUUUGAUGCUUCAGAAUGCCUCAAUCAGUAAAACAACCAAGUUCCGUGUAGAAAGUUAGAAACCCAGGUAAACUAUCCAUAACCUCCCGGAUCGAGAGGGAAGGAAGAAGGGAGGUAUUAGGGCGGGCGGUGAUGCUGGGGCAUGGUACCUGCCGAGGGCGCGGAGGUCCUGGAAGUGGCGGCGCAUGGUGGCCUCCUCCUGGACGACAGCGCGCGCCGUCCUGUCGAUGUGCUGGGGCGCGCUGUACGGGGGCGCGCCGCCGGCGACGAAGAGGGCCUCGAGGAGGCGGUCCGCGCCGAGCCGGAUGUCCGCGAUGAGCCGGCCCGCCCGGCCCAGCCGCUCCAUCGCUUGAGCCACCUGCUUCGGCGGCGCGUCCCCGCCCGCCGGAUCGUUCGGGUGGGUCACCGUCGGCGCCACCGCCGACGCCGACGGCGCGACCGCGAGCGCCGCCGCCUGCGCUUGAGGAUGCUGCUGCAUCAUGAUUCUUCCUUCUUGGGGCGCCGAGUCAGUCCUCACUCGCUUGGGGGUGUUGCGACAUUUUACUCGCGAUGCCAAGCCCAUUAGGCUAGGAGGCCGUCAUAGGCCCAUGGUCUGGUUCCAAUUUGUUGCGCACUUUGAGUUUGAUUGAUUGGUUUGUUGCCAAGAUUUUGGCAUGCAAAAGUUUUGGCAAAUUAAAAGUUAGGCAAAAAAAUUAUCAAUAUUUUGGUAAGAUAAAUAAGAUACGUUGCCAAAUUUUAGUAACAAACUAAACAAUAGAAAAAAAUUGGUAUAAUUACAUGGUUCUACUGACAAACUAAACAAUAGAAUUUUACACCCUUAUGAUUCAAUCAAAUCAAAUAAAAAAUAUAGAAUAAAUUUUUUCUCAAAAAUAAAAGUAUAGAAUAAAUAAAAUAUGGUAUAAUUACAUGGUUCUACUGACAAGUGGGGUCCGAUUACUUAUGGAUUUUUGACAAAUAUAGUUCUACAAUGUUAUUAAAAUGCAUUCCUUUUUUCAUUCAAAGUGUUAUCGAAACAAUUUGUUUGAAGUACUUGAGGAAUAAUUUUGUGAGCGAGUUGACUUAGCAUCCACCAUUUAUAUUUGGUGGUAAAAUAAUAUCAAAUCUCACUUUUUUGCGGAGAAAUUAACUCCCAGUCAUGUAAUUCAGUUUCUUGUUUCUUUUGCGAGAAGAAAAAUGCAAUUUCGUGUUCCAGCUACUGAAAAAAAGAUACAGCAGUGAAGUGUGUUGUGCUACAUUAUUACACGAUGAUCAAAGUAACAACGGUACCCACAAAAGAGGUGCUCCUCCCGACCACUGCAUGAAUUCAUGAAUUUUCAAAUGAACCCCCGCAAAAUUGAAUUCUACAGUAUUCAUCAGCAUUUCAGCACACUCACUGGCCACUGACCGCAGCUUCCCACAAAAGAGCUGCUCCUCCCGACCUCUCGGUCCCUGGCGUUUCGAACGUUCCAAUCCCCCGCCCGGCCGGCCAUGCCCCUCCCCGGCGGCAACGGCGAGCCCCCUCCCCUUCCCUCUUCUCAUCCACCGCCGCUCCCCUCGCUCAUCAAGCUUGGUCGCGCCAUCACCGCUCGCCACGUCGACCGCCUCCUGGCCGUGCUCCUCCGUCGCCGGAGGCACCGCCUCCUCGCCGCGCUGGCCUCCCAGGCGCUCGCCAACGCCGUCGCCCCCACCCCGCGCACGCACCUCCUCGCCGCCUCCGCGCUUCUCGACUCCGAGCGCCCGCACGAAGCGGCCCAGCGCCUCGCUCUCGCCUCAUGCAUUGCUAGCCGUGGCCGCCGCCUCUGGGACGCGCUGCUCCGACGGGCCUGCGCGGGGCGAGGAGACCCGCGCCACGCGCUGGAGCUGCUCUCCGCUGCCGUCGAGGACCAAGGCGCGGUGCUGUCCCCGUCCACGUACCGCGUGAUGGUGGUGGGGCUGUGUGCCCGCGGAGAGGUGGACGGCGCGCUCAGGGUGUUUGACGUAAUGACCAGGAGGGGGUGUCAGGUGGACGAUCGCAUUUGCAGCUCUAUCGUUUCUGGGUUCUCCAGAAUUGGGAAGGCUGGAGCAGGGCUGGAUUUCUACAAGAGAGUGAGGCGUGAUUUCAGUGGCUUUGAGCCGGGCCUGGUGACAUUGACGUCAGUCGUUCAUUCUCUUGGGUUGGAGGGGAGCAUCGGUGAGAUGGCAGAGCUAAUGCGAGAGAUGGAGUGUAAGGGCAUGGACGCUGAUGCUGUGUUUUAUGGCAGCAUGGUUCAUGGAUACAUGAGUUGUGGGUUCUUGAUGGAGGGUCUACGGGGGCAUCAAUCCAUGUUAGAUAAGGGAAUCACAGCCGAUGUAGUUAACUACACUACUGUUAUUGAUGGACUGUGCAGAGAAGGUUGUGUGGAGAAAGUAAUGGGCUUCUUGGAUGCAAUGGAGCGACGUGAUGCUAAGCCAAAUUUGAUUACUUAUACAUCACUGGUCGGUGGCUUCUGUAAGAGAGGCAGGUUAGAAGAUGCCUUCUCUAUUGUGAGGAAACUGGAACGAACUGGCGUGGUGGUGGACGAAUAUGUAUAUUCAAUUUUGAUAGACAGCUUGUGCAAGAUGGGAGAUUUACCUAGGGCUUUCUCUUUGCUCACAGAGAUGGAAAAUAAGGGAAUCAAGGCUGGCAUUGUAACGUAUAACGCAAUUAUAAAUGGUUUGUGUAAAGCUGGUGACACUGAAAAGGCUGUUGAAAUCUCUGAAGGUGUUGCUGCUGAUAACUUCACAUAUAGUACACUGUUACUUGGUUACAUUAGCAGAGAUGAUGUUACCGGUGUUAUGACGAUAAAGGGCAGGCUUGAGAAUAGUGGUAUCUCUAUGGAUGUUGUCACAUGCAAUGUUCUCAUCAAAGCAUUAUUUAUGGUUAACAAGGUGGAUGAUGCCUGGAGUUUGUUUCACAAAAUGCCUGAGAUGGGCUUAAGGCCUAAUACUAUCACCUACAAUACAAUGAUACAUGCUUUGUGUAAAGUUGACAAAAUUGACAAGGCACUGGAGCUGUUUGAAGAAUAUAAGAAAGAUUCAUCAUUCUCCAGUUCAGUGGUUCAUGACUGCCUGAUUAAAGCACUGUGUAAUCAAGGGAAAGUUGAAAUGGCUGGCCAAAUAUUUUAUGAUCUUGCUCAGAAAAAAUUAAGUCCCAGUUUCUGUAACUGCAAGAAGUUGAUUCAUGCAAACUUCAAAGAACUCGGCGAACACGGUGUGCUGGAUUUCAUUUGUAAGGUUGGCGAAUUAGAUGUUGACUUAUUUUCAUCUGUUUGCAAUUAUGCUUCUACUUUCUUAAGCAACAGGAAUUGUUGUCAAGCAGCAAUGGAUGCUUACAAGUUACUCAGAAUGCAAGCCAUUUCUGUAACUAGUAAAACAUGCUACAGGCUGCUCCAGAGCUUACAUCGAAAUGGAAGUGAAGAGGUCAUACAACCAUUGUUAUGUGAGUUCAUUAAAAUUCAUGGUAUGUGUGAACCUAGAAUGAUCAAUAUGCUGUCUUGUCAUCUCAGCAAGAAAAGUGUUAGUGAAGCUAUUUGGUUUUCUAAUUACAUGGACACUGUUAAUGUUCCUAUCAGUGUUCUGAGAGGAGCUGUCUAUACUCUAAAGAAGCAAGGUGAAGUUCUGGAUGCGUGUACAUUUUUGAAGGAAGCUAAACAAAGUGGGUUUUCAGUAGAUCUAGCCAUGUAUUCCAUAGUAGUAGAUGGCCUUUGUAAGGGUGGAUAUCUCGAAAAAGCACUAGACCUUUGUGAAAGCAUGAAAAAAGAGGGGCUUCAUCCAAACAUUGUCAUCCAUAACUCAGUUCUCAAUGGUUUGUGCCAGCAAGGAUGUUUUACUGAAGCAUUCAGGCUCUUUGACUACUUAGAAAACAGCAAGAUGCUUCCAACAAUGAUCACUUAUGCCAUCCUUAUCGGUGCUUUGUGCAGAGAAGGUUUGUUGGAUGAUGCAGACCAAUUGUUUGAUAAAAUGUCCACCAAGGGUAUCAGACCCACGACCCGUGUUUACAACUUGCUGAUAAGUGGUUAUUGUAACUUUGGAUUAACUGAAAAGGCACUUGAGCUUAUGUCUCACUUGGAGGAACUCUUUCUACUCCCAGAUUCUUUUACACUAGGUGCAAUUAUUAGUGGACUUUGCCUGAAAGGUGAUACUGAAGCUGCAUUAUGCUUCUUUAAUGAAUACCGUUAUAAGGACAUUGAACCUGAUUUUGUUGGUUUUAUGAGCCUUGUCAAAGGACUCUAUGCAAAAGGAAGGAUGGAAGAAUCCAGGGGCAUCUUGAGGGAAAUGUUUCAGUGCAAAGAAGUCGUGGAGUUAAUAAACAGUGUUGGAGAUAAGAUUCAAGCGGAGUCUCUUGUUGAUCUCCUAUCUUCUGCAUGUGAUCAAGGGAGGAUAGAUGAGAUUCUUACUAUCCUAAAUGAAGUGGGACACAUGCUUUUAUCCUCUUCAGAUUCUAGCAGCUACAAUGCGCUUGCGCACCUCAAGAAGCUACAAAAAGCUGACGAUGCUUAUGAUUCCAUUUCAGAUUCAGGACAAGUAAGUCUCGUAGCUUAUGAUGUUUCUAGGAAUAGUUGUCAUGAGAACUCUGAGGCGAUAGAUGGAGACGAUAGUUUAUCAAAAGCAAGUAAUGAUACUGAUAUUGACUACCGAAAUUUGCUUGGGAAGUCUUUCAGUGAUGAUUUCGACUCAUAUUAUACUGCUAUUGCUUCGCUUUGCUCGAAAGGGGAGGUUCUUAAGGCCGACAAGGCAGUUGAAGUGAUGAUUCAGAAUUCUGGUUAAAUUUGGCCAACUUGUUAAGGAAAAUUUUCUGCCCACAGUAUCUUCAUCUGCAACACAUGUAAACUUGUAAGUACAGCAUGCUUUUUAGAUAUAGGAUGCUUAGUGAUGCAACUUGGGGGUUCACCAAAGUUGGAAUUAACCUUUUUUGCAUAUUAGUCUAUCUUGUCUAGCAAAACAUCACUGUGCUUUGAGUUCAUAGCACAAACUCGUGCACCUUUGUUAUAACUGUUUGUCAAUUUUUUUAUGCCAGAAACAGACACCAAAUUGAAACAGAACUCUGACUUUGCACAGGUUCCAUCGGUUGAGAGAGUAUGCUGGUUGACCCAUGGUACCCCAUCCAUGUGCUUGUGAACAUAUAUGAUUGUUCAAUAUGGUUCAAGAUUCGGAAGAUCCUUGAGGCUGAGGAUAUAUCUUGUUGGAUUCAACCAGUUUGCUACCCUCAGUUUGAUCUCUUUUGUCUUUUAGGUAUGUUUUCUUCUCGAUGAAUUAGCACUGAUUUCCUUUUGUUUUCAAUUCUCCCUGCAUGGACUGAGCAUAUAGGGCUCUGAUAAAAAAUGUUGAACAUAGGAAAAGGGAAAAGAGAAAGCCCAUACAGCAGUAGGAUCUGCAGGUAAUACCUUCUCUGACUCGUAUGCUUUAUUACCCUUUUCCCUACUUUACCUUUGCGUAUGAAAUAGCAUAUAUUUAUACAGCUUGGUCAAGCCAUUAGUUUAAAUGCUUGCAUGGGAGCUCUAAAGAUUUCUUUUAGGCACAACAACUUGACUGCAUGUUCUGCGUGAAUGUAUCUUUCGAUCCUCAUAUGAUGACUGACAUUUUUCCUUUAUAAACUAACUUUUGGCCAUAUUUGAUUCCAACAAGUGACAAACGUCAAAGUUAACACAGCUGGAGCUAGAAGAACUCUUGAAGAAAUAGAUGGAUGUAUACCCUGAGUUCAUUGAGUUGGGAUUUGGGAGUCAAAACAUGGUAAGUCAAAUAAGCAUAUAUAUGACACCCAAUGAAUUCAUCUUAUAUAUUGACCUAUCAAUAGAUACACAUUUUACAAUGUGGUUAAAUAAAAGCACAAUAUCAAACAUCUGAUAAAAUCAUAGCCAUGCUUGCUUAUUUGAACAAAAUAUAUCACCAACAUCAAAUACAAUUUCAGCACAUAAAGCAACCUCAGUGGUCGUUGUUGAGCCUCCUGCAAUUCUUCCUGAUCUCACCCUGUGACCCAGUUAGUGGUGAAAUGUUGCCCAUGUUCACCAUAGACUGUGCAAAGUGCUGGAAGAAGAGAUUGACAUCAGCAGCAUAUGCCUUCACGAGUGCUGCUGUCUCGGCACUCUUGGUCAACAGAACCUCAUCAGAGCUGAGGAGGCCCUUGCCGGCCAGGAUGUUCUUGUAAUAAAAAUUGUCAAAUUUGGCUGGGGUGACAAAGUCCAAGGGGAAGAGGUUGUUGUCACCACCAGAGCGGGGGCACCCCUGUCUCAGCUGUGCCGCGUACGAUACAUCCAGUGUGCUGUCAGCCAUGCCAUUGCCCGUUUGGUUGUACAGCCUCUGCCGGAAGCUGGUGCACCGAGACAUACCUAUGGUGUGACCACCUAUACAUAUAUGUGGAGUCAAAUCCAUGUUGUCUAGUGUGAGUCUACGUUAAGUCGGUGAAUAACAAAGUACAGGAGAAAUUAUGAAAUAGCAUGAAAAGUCACCAGAGAGGGCGACGACAUCCACAACGUUGAGGCCUUGGAGCUUGAACUUGGUGAUGAUGGUGGGGAGCGUGUUGUUGGGGGCUGGGAUAUCAUUGUUGGAGCCCUGGAUGCUUGCACCGAGCGAGUCCCUCCUGCCAAGUGGCACGUCCCAGUAUGGGCCACCAACCUACAGUUUAGAGUUAAAAAAAAAUCAUCAUGCCAGGAGCACUUCCUUUGCCAAAGGCCAAAGCUAUGGAUAUAUAAAUAUCAUGUCUUCCACUUGUGGUUGGACAGAAUCAUUGAUGGUGGUCGUACCAGGACAGUGGAGUCACGGGCUGCGAUGGCGAGGAUGUCGGCGCAGGAGACAGUGCCUGGGCAGGCAGCCUCGAGAGCGGCCUUGAUCUGGUCGACCACCUCAAACCCCCUGAGGGAGUUCCUGUUGGGGUUAGACCCUUUCUCACUGACUAUGCUGCUGCUGUUGUCCAACAGCACGGAUGCAUCGCAGCCCUACAUGUGGAACAGUAUCCGAAAAGAUUGAUAAUUAUUAGCCAGAUGGAAAUAGUUUAGAGAUUAGGCACACACUACGUAGUAGUAGCGGUAGUAGAUUCAGCAGGCACAUGCAUUGAAUAAAAGGUGACAAACAUUGCACAGAGAGCUUCAAUCAUUGUGCACUAGAGUUAGGUAAACAUCUUCUCAUUUGGCUCACAAAAAUAAACAUCUCACUCAAAAAAGGGAAACAGAGUUAAUCAAUCAUAGUACUGGCUCGAUCAUGUCACCAAGGCAUAAAGUAGUGCUAGCAUGGGCGAUGUAGGUAGUCUUUCUUAUCAGUAGUAAAUAAGUUAGCCUAAAUACUAUAGAUUCUUCCAUGCUUCCUUUUCCAGUACCUAGGCACAUAUACAGGACAGAGUUGAAGUUUUACUUUGCCCAUUUUUAAGUUAUGUUAUAACAGCCAAAGUUAGUAAAUUAAUCCAUACGUUAAUCUUUGCUUUUCACGUUUGUUAGUCUUAUUAUACUGUACCCAGCAUAUAGCUCAAAACUUGAAGUACUAAACUUUUAUCGCUAAUUUGCUUUAGUGCACUGCAGGAACUAUGUUUGGCAAGCAUCAUAGCUGUGUCAUGUAAAGAAUACAAUAGAAGAGAGGAAGCAGAGUUUACUUUGACAAAGCAGUCAUGGAAAUGCAGUCUGACCAAGGAUGCUGCCAUCCUGGUCUCCUUGGCCACAGCCUGUGCCACAAUGGACUGUACGAUCUCCUUCGCCUUGGGGCAUGAAUGGUCGUAGAACUGUGGGAACAAGCCGCCCCAUGGGUGGCUGCGGACGGCAUUGGCAAAGAGGAGGGGAGAAACAAGGCAGAGCAAGACGAGGCAACCCAUGGAGUUUGCCAUGUAAGUAAGUAACCUCUGCUGCACUACGUUACAAGAGAAGAGAGUGUUCCUACUUGCGUGUUUCUUCUUCUCUUGUGGAUGAUUAGAUGAGGUGGGCAUAUGGUGGUAUAUAUAGCUGCAGGAAGUGGGUGUAGUGCAUGUAAGGAAAGGAGGGUGGUUUGGAACAGGGGACGGUGGGAUCAGAUGAAGCAGGCAGCUGGGUUGUUAGGGCAAUGCGUAUAGAAUAAGCGAGCUAGCCAGACACUGUAGCAACCGGUACAGUAAUUCCAUCAAGUUAUAAGUGGUCUCUAACGUCCUUAGUUGCUGUUCGGUGUUUCAGUUUUAGCUGAAAGCAACAUGGAGAUUAAACCUUUUGUCCUAGGCAAGGGUAGGUGGACUGAAAACAACAUCUGCCACUUAUUAAAUGGCAAGCAUUCUGCAAUUUUCUCGAAGGACUGGAGUAGUGCGUUAAACUAAAAUGAAGAGUCUGAUUAAUUGAUGAUAUGCAUUCUGCAACUCAAUCUUUUAAACAAAACUACAUGUACAGUACAAUGAUGCAAUUUUAUUGUGAAUUCCGAACAGUGUCCUCUCCCGGAUCUGUGAGUGUUCCAGGACUGACUUUAAACUACCACAAUAUGACAGGUGUAGCUUUACAGUAGAUCAAACAUUGCUCUAACUUUAUCCUAGUUGUAUUAACAAGUAUUAGUCGUAAUGUAUUCAUCGAACCAUAUUUAACCUUGGACAACACAUGACAAUAUAGCACAGACUGUGUGAACUCAAGUAACCGAAGUACAGAAAGCUUAGCGGAAAGUGAGGUUUUGCUUCCCAGAUAAUCCAACUACUUUUGUUAUAUGUAAGUGUUGUUACAGGUCGGAUGGUAUUUUUAUUAAUGAAUACCACAUGCACGGUUAUCCCCAGGAAGGGUUGGUUGGCGAUCAUCAAACAUGGAUACGUAUCCCUGUCUUUGGGGACAAAAAUAUCCCUGUCUUUGGGGACAAAGUAUCCCUGUCUUUGGGGACAAAAGUAUGAUGCUACAGCUGCAUGCCUUUUUUCGCACUAGCUUCGUAGCAAGAGGUAAACAUCUUAAGAUCUAUCGGUCAUGUUUGUGGUUUCAUACCGUCAAAUUGUACUACCGAUUUAAGGUAUUUUUGCUAUGUUGUGGUGAUCAAUACUUCGAAAGAUCGGAUGGUUCAUGAAACCGCUGGAGCACAUGCGUGCCUAACUACUUCUUUUCUGUUGCCCUAUGCAGGGGACUGGCUGGCUGAUUUCCCAGCGAACACAUGCGUGGCGAUCAGGGUCAAACGCGAUGUGUGAUGUACCAACUCCGAGUACACGGUACAUGAUGAUUCGCGUUAGGUGCUUGCAUGUCCUACAUUCUUGUCACAAGCAGGUUCCUGGAAGGACUUGAGACUGCUGGAAAGCUUCCACACUGGUAGCGGUAGAGAAGCUUUGUUCUUCUGAGCAGCACGUAUCCUUGGCCGUUCCUUGAAGGAAAGAAACAUCAGCAUUGGUUGCUACUGUCAGAUAUUUCAAAGGCACUACAAAGUAAAAAUAAAAGGUUCGUGUGGAAAAUAAGGAGAAAAAUCAGAAGAGUAUUUGCUACUCAUCGAUGUCAUGCGCUAACAUAAAUACAGUACAUAAUUAGCACUGGAAGUAGUAAUGUAGAGAAAAUUCAUGAAGAAAGUGAACUAGUGCUUUGUAACAAUGAUUUGGCUCUUUAUUUCGCGCGAAACACAUAUUAAGCAUACUGAUUGCUCAUUAUCAUUUACAUACUUCGAUUAAACAGAAAAAAAUGUUUGCAUAUGUUAAAGGUGUAAAAAAAAGAGCCUAGCAACUAGUUAGCAUGUCACAUGCCUCUUUCAAAACAGUCCCCAAACUUGGCAUACCUACUGAUAGGUGAUAAGACCUGGGGGGAGACAAAGAAGUGACGUGAAUGAGUAUUGCCUAUUGAGUACCAGCUCAUUUGACUUCUGCUGUGUUGGGCUCCCGGAUUCAUUAUUGUCUAGCGUCUACUGUUCCUGGAUUUCUCAUUUUACUCCUACAACACACGCUUAACCCACGCAGCAAUCAUGCGUUAUGUGGAAGAGACGCGAAAGUUUGAAUAGGCCCCCACAUCACUUCCAAGUUAACCGACACUUCCUUUUCAGUACAGCUGAAAAAUAAUUUGUCAAUGAUUUUUGCGAUUCGGUAGUGAGAGUAGUUUGGCAUGAAUAAUUAAAGACACAAUUAUAUAGCUCAUCACGGAGCUGGUUCAGUGUAUUAUUCUGAUAUUCCUCUUUGCCAACCCUAAUGUGUGGUCGAUGGAUUUGAAGUGUCCCUCGCGUGGAUUUGCUUGCAUUUUAUAAGCAAACAUCAAUUAGGAAAGGAAUCAGUAGGCAAAGGCAGUAUAUAUCUUUGAAUUACUAUUUUUUUUUGGCAAAAUACAAUACAGUCACAAAUGCUCAUGUAUACGCACGCACACUCAAUCCUAUGAAUAUACACACGCAAUCCUAUGAAUUACUUCGUGUGUUCCAAGCUACUUUUAGCCUCGUAACGGGUUAUCUAUAUCAUCCACAGCUCACCAUUUUACAAGGUCAAAUUUUUUAGCUUACCUUUUUUUUUUCUCUGGAUACACGAUAAGAGCAUGCACGCAGAGAAGACUUUUGAUGCCACCCUAUUACGAAUAGAAUUAGCGAGUAUUAAUGUAAUGAGCUCCCUUGGCAUAGAAGGCUGGGAAAGUUUAAGCUAACAAUGAUGGAUUAGACAUAAUUAAUAUUAUGAUGCCAGUUGAUAUUAGUUGAUCGUAGAUCAGAAGAGAACACGAAGACGACUACUACUUUGUUGACUGUUGGAGACUGCCCUUGGCUUCCAAGAGAUGACUGGAAGACUGUUUGCUCAAGGUAGGGUCAGAGGCGCUUGUUUCUACGCUUCUGGAAAUUUAACAGCACUUUACGCUAUCACGCGCGUGCGAUGAACAUAUGAAACUGUGCUUGCAAGCUUGCCAUUCGAUGACGAAAUAUAAAAGGAAGAUUAGGUUGCAGUGAGUGAAAUAGGAAUGUAAAAUGACACAGUUAGCCUUGCCAGCCUAAGCCUGUAAUGUAACAAAAACAAUAUUUUUUUGGGCAACAAUUGUACGCAAAUUUUACUGGAGCCUCAAAUACUGAAAUACUAGGGUUUCGCAAAAAAAAAAUGAAAUACUAGGGAUGUUAUUAGAAGUACUCCUACAUAGACUCAUCUUCAGACAGACAUUUGGAUGAACGAGAUACAUUCACUACACCAGAGUCCUAGAACGACGAUUAUAUUGUUUUAACCAAGUUAUGCGGCAUAGGUGUCUAGAAAUUAUACAUGUGGUUUUCUUUAUACAAUAGAAAGUGAGCCUAACACAAAUGGUUAGAGUGCGAGGUGUGAUUGUGCAUCUAAAGUUCUAAAUUCUUGUUAUUUUUUUUUCCAAAGGUACAUUCAUCUUCAACUCAAAAUGCCUAUUUCUUCUUAAUGAAAACCACCCACCUAGUUGGAUCUUGUUUUUUUUUACAAAACAUAUGCACAUAAUAAAUCCCAUAUGCAUGCUAUACCAUAAUUGGUUAAUAAAACUACUCCCCAGCACCCCUACUCCAACUUGUUAAAACUCGAACAAGAAGGCAAAGCAAACUCAAACACAUUGAGCCACGGAAACAAAGUUGGACGACUAGCCCCAUCUCAUUACCAGCAGCUCAUUAAGAAAAAUCACAUCUAGCAGCUACUCCACAUAAACAAUCGAAACUUUUCAUAGCCUUAAAUUCCUGAGAAUUAAAACUAAAACAAAGUACACAAUCAUCAAUCAUGUAAGCACAGAGGGUGCUCUUCUAUAGGAGUAUGUAGGCACCAGUAUACCAACACACGGGCCUGCCUAUCGUAACCAACUCUAGCAUGCAUUCGUCUGCUUUCCAUUAUCUGGCUGUAGCUGUACCGGUCCUUUUACCUGCUCCACCGGCCAGUGAUGGGCACUGGCCCGUGGAAUCUGGGUGUGGGGUGAGUGACCACUUUGACUCCUGAGAUGGGCGUCAAUCAAUCAUAUUCCACGUAGGACCUAUUAGCUAUAUUUGCAUGUUUCUCAUCUUAUCUUUAGCUUCUUCAGGUCUUCCAUAGUAUAAUGCUAAUCUCACCCUCUCUUGGCAUGAGAAAGUUAAUUACUUUUCCCAAGAAAGGUAAGUUUGGAGUUUAUGAAUGGAAAGUAGCAAGUCACCAUCUUGUUUGUUAAUAUAACGUCCAUAACAAAAGCCAGGAACUAGACGCUGAAAGGUUUGGUAGUAGCCUAGUAGGUAUUGUGGAGUUCCUUGCCUAAAACCUUCUUUUUUUUUCCCUCUAAGUGAGCACCAUAUAGUUCCUGGCUUUAAAUAAAGAUAACCAACAAAUUAAAGGUGGGAUGAUGACUUAACACUCUCUAAAGGUUAGACUUUGCACUCUCAUUUCCUUUACAACACUGCUUCAUCGGUUUGAAAAUGUAAGGUGUUUUUAGUUUUAUUGCCUAGCUAAGUCAAACUUCUCUAAUUUUAAUCAAGUUUAUAGGAAAAUAUAUUAACAUCUAUAAUACCAAAUAAAUUCCUGAAACUAAUUUUUUAUAUAAUUAGUUGGUGCAUUUUUCUAUAAGCUUAAUCAAAAUUGGAGAAGUUUGAUUUAGGACCAAAAUAAAACAUCUAUAUUUUCGAACGGACGGAGUAUUACAACCCCAUAGAAUCGUGCAUGGCUACAUGAAAGCGUGCGUGCUUCAAGCACGAAUGAAAUGCCUCCAUUUCUUUGCCACUUAACAACCUACACAUCGAUGACUGAAAUCACGCACGCGUAAAAAAGAGUUAGGCGCUUUGCAAGUACAACUAAGGGAGGAGCACAUGCAUAAUUAGUUGGUCAUCAUGCCCCUCCAGCUAGCUCUCUUUGCCAAGCUAGCUAAAUGAUGACGCGGUUAAGCUUGGGAGAGCCAGCUCGAUGGAUGGACGUAGUCUGUAGAGACAUGACGUGAUCAUACCCUUUCUUUCUUUGACAGGGACGCACGGCCACGAGAAGCACCUACAUGAGUGAUCGAUUGACCUGCAUCCAAGCUGGUCGUUACAUAUGCGCGUGCAUGAUAACUAACUGUCUGACCAACAAACCAAUGACCUUCUCCGUUUCACAGACAACGAUCGAGCUGGUGCCUUGCUGAUAACUGGAUAAAUGACGCACGAGGAUCAGCCAUGUAUAUGCGUGUGUCUAGGUGGGCCUACUUGGCAGAGUUUCAACUCCAAGAAUUCCAAGAGCUAGUCAACUUUAGCCCCAUAAUUUUUUGGAGUUGGAGAUGGGAGCUGGUGAGCCAUCUUAUUCUUAUUUUGGACUAAAAAUACCUAGUUAAAGUGUUAAACUACCUUAUUCAGUUUUAUCAUACAAGUUGUAAACCGUACAUGGAUCCGAUCGCAGAGUUGAAGCUCUGCCAAACAAGCACUGUAUAUAUAUCUCCUAUCUUCAGAUUCAUAUCGCUUGUUCGUAAGCAUGUCUGAUGACUUGCAAUGGAAAAUAAAGUCAUAGUGUGGGGUACAAUGGUUUCAUAUUUCUGACAACAAUCUCUUCCAUGAGUGAGUCCUAUAAAACUAGUUAGGAAGUGUUUUAACAAGCUAAAAUUUCCAUUUAUCCCAGCUCUCUUGAGAGAGGAUGGAAUGGUUUGAAUUGCCCCAGGUAUAAUCGCAAUCAGGUGUUAAGCCGUUCUUGUUUAUUUAAACCAAAUAUUGUCACAACCAUCAAGUACACAAUUGCUCGUGAAUCAUGAUAGUCAUGAUGAGCACACAAUGUAGCUAGCUCCUGAUGAUCAGUAGCGGUUGCCGUUCAGCCUCCUGCAGUUCUUCCUGACCUCCCCCUGCGCGCCGGUCAGCGGCGAGAUGUUGCCCAUCCUCACCAUCGACCGCGCGAAGUGCUGGAAGAAGAGGUCGACGUCGGCGGCGUAGGCCUUCACGAGCGCCGCCGUCUCGGCGCUCUUGGUCAGCAGCACCUCGUCGGAGCUGAGGAGGCCCUUCCCGGCCAGGAUGUUCCUGAAGUAGAGGUUGUCGAACCUGGCCGGGGUGGCGAGGUCCAGCGGGAAGAGGUUGUUGUCGCCGCCGGAGCGCGGGCACCCCUGCCGGAGCCGCGCCGCGAAGGACGCGUCCAGCGUGGCGUCGGCCAAGCCGUUGCCCGUCUGGUUGUACAGCCGCUGCCGGAAGCUGGUGCAGCGGGAGAGGCCGAUGGUGUGGGCGCCGGAGAGCGCGACGACGUCGGCGACGUCGAGGCCCUGGCGCCGGAACUUGGUGACGAUGGUGGGGAGGGUGUUGUUGGGCGCCGGGAUGUCGUUGUUGGAGCCCUGGAUGCUGGCGCCCAGCGAGUCGCGCCGCCCCAGCGGGACGUCCCAGUAGGGCCCGCCGGCGAGGACGGUGGAGUCGCGGGCGGCGAGGGCGAGGACGUCGGCGCAGGAGACGGUGCCGGGGCAGGCGGCCUCCAGGGCGGCCUUGAUCUCGUCCACCACCUCGAACCCCCGGAGGGAGUUCUUGUUGGGGUUGGACCCUUUCUCGCUCACGAUGCCGGUGCUGUUGUCCAGAAGCACCGAGGCGUCGCAACCCUGCAGGCAGGACAGAAAAGUGUCGCAAAAAGUUGGUACGUGCCAUGACAACGGUGUGGUAACACUCAUUAGGCACAUGCAUUGAGUGGAUGAUAAAAAAUAUUAUUGCAUAUGAAGAACUUGCGUCAAUUAUUUUGAGUUUGAGGUAAGUAAUCAUUUUCUUUUUCAGAAAAAGGGAAAAAAAACAAUCAUCGGCAGUGCACCAAGACAUGAUGCCACCAAGACAUAAGGUAAAGUAGCGUUGGCAUGCGCAAUAUUGGUAGGCCAUCUUAUCAUUGGUAAAAUUUUACAGAUUCCUCCAUGCUACCUCUUCCAAUACCAAAAGUUUCCAGUUGUGCACUCUGCAUUUGGAGCUAUGUGCUUAGCAAGCAUGACAGCCGUGCCAAAGCAUGCAUGUAACGAAAAUUACAGCAGAGAGUUCACGUACCUUGACGAAGCAGUCAUGGAAAUGCAGCCUGACGAGCGACGCCGCCAUCCUGGUCUCCCUGGCGACGGCCUGCGCCACGAUGGACUUCACGAUCUCCUUCGCCUUGGGGCACGAGUGGUCGUAGAACUGCGGGAACAGGCCGCCCCACGGGUGGCCAUGGACGCCGCCGGCGAGGAGGAGGGGAGCGACGACGGCGAGGCAUAGCAGGACGAGGCAACCACGCUUGGAAGCCGCCAUGGCAGUGCCAAGUGAAGAUCAAAGAGAGAUCAGCUUUGCUGUACUUGUGCUUCGAUCUCUUCUUGCGAGGAUGGUUGGAUGAAGUAGUGGCGCGUGGGGUGGUGUAUUAUAUAUAGACAUAGUAGCUGCAGCCUGCAGGAAGGUGGUGCGGGUGGUGCAGUCCAUGGAAGGAGAGGAACCAGGGUGCAGUGGUUCGAGCAGGGGACGGUGGGAUCGGGUGCGGCAGGGCAGCUGGGGCUGUUGGGGACGAUGCGUGCGAAUCAAGUGAGCUAUCCAGGGUCAACGCAGCACGGCCCCGCGCCCAACGGCAACUGCUACAGUAAUUCUGCCAGGUUUGGAGUGCUAACGGCGGCCGUAGUUUCUGUUUGGGCGUCCGUUUGAGCUCAAAUUAAAGAGACUGAGUUUUAUUUUUAUCCUAAAUUAAACUAUGUGUUGAAUUGAGAAGAUGCUAUCAUGAAUUGCUGAUUAUGCUGCUCAUUUAGGCACGCGCAUGAUACGACAUAUCUUUUUUUUUUAAAAAAAGUUAAACACUCGAACAAUACAAUGAGACUAUGAGAGUACAACUUUUAAUAGAAAAUGUGUUUGUGAAUUACUGAUUUGUGCAACACUUUCUGCUGGAUCUGGGAUCCUUCCAGCAAUGUCACUUUAAGCUUAAACCUAGUUAUAUUAUAUAGAAACAGAGAUCAACUCUAUACAUAAGGGUAGUACCGUGGGAGGUCCACUUCUAAUAUUUACUUCCUCCAUCCUAAAUUUCAAGUGCAUAUUUUUUUUUGCUAUGCACUUAAAUAUAUGUUAUGUCUAAAUACAUAGCAAAACUUAUGUACCUAGAAAAGCUGAAAUGACCGACGUACAAUUUAAACAGGGAGUAUGUAACAGUAAUGUAUUCAUCCUACCAUACUUAAGCUCGCUUAGCACAUGACAAUAGAACGAACAUAUCUUCAAUGUGUGAAACCAAGCAACCAAUGCAAAGAGCAGACUAGCUUAGGCAAAAGUGUGGUGUUGCUUCCCAAUUAAUGUAGCUACAUAUAUAUGUAUAUACAUAUAUACUUUUGUCAUACACAAUCGUCUUUACAGGUUGAACAGUAUUAUCAAAGAAGACCAUAUGAAUGAUGACUGACCCCAUGGGGCUUUUCUUUUAAUUUUUAGUGGUCGGUGAUCACGCAUGUAACAUGGAUACGUAUCCUUGUGGACAAAAGUAUUAUGGUACAGUGCACGCCGCACCUUUUUCCCCCUACCAUUCAGAUCACAAGGGGUUCUACAAUGUGGUAUCAUCGUGGAGAGCAGCCAUAGAUUCCAUCGAGCUUUUUUUCAGUACACAAUAUUACCACUUAGUAUAUUACUACUUAGUAUUAUAUAGUGUAUAUAAGAUCUAACUGUUUAUUAUUAUGGAUAAUUUAGUAAUUAUUACAUUGUAAAAAAUAAUAUUUUAAAUGGAAUAGUUUUUUAAACAUUAUGCUAAUGUUAAAAAUAAAAUUAUAGUGAUGCCAUUUGUGUUCUUUUACCAUGAUACUCUUAUACUACCUAUACUCCUAAUGUAUAUUAUCCAUACCACAGGUGAAUGUUUCAGUAGUAUGUAAUUAAUCUUGAUCGUCAGAUGUUUUUAUAUUAAUCCUUUUCAAACGCCUGUCGGGUCAAACGUGCGGCGUGAUGUACCAACUCUGAUCAAACGGCGCAUUGUGAUUGCUUGCAUUGGCUUCAUUACAUUCGUGUUCUCAUCACAAGCAGGUUCCUGGAAGUAGCGACUGUCUGAAAGCUUCCACAUUGGUGCUGUGCAGAUCGAACACGGAUCAGUGGCCGUUUCUUGAAGAAAACAACACCUUCGGUUGUUACUGCAGAAGACAGUUUAUCACACUAGAAAAAAAAAGCUUUAUUCGAGGGAAAUAAGGAGAAAGUAGACAGAUAGUGGUCAACAGCUGUAUUCAUUGUCAUUCAUAACAAGGCUAGGGGGAGAAGCAACAUAGAGAAAAUUCAAUGAGAUGUUUUCAAUGUGGUUUAUCUUUGUUUUGCACGAGAUGUAUGUUUAGCGUAUUGAUUAUUGAUCAUUAUUGUUAUUUGUAUAUUUCUGUGGAACAUACUUUAUUCCAAUAUGGUACUGGAGCUAGUAAAUAAAAACUUAUAAGCCCUACCGUCUUAUUAGCAACUAGAAAUAGCAUGCCACAUGCCUCAAAACAGGAUACGCAAACUUAGUGUCCCUAUUGCUAAGGAUGUACAUACGUACCCAUUUGUGUUUUCUGGGUCGUUAGCCGAUUAGUUACACUAGCAAGCCAUUCAAGAUCAUCUCUCCUCCUAAAUCAAUUAUGUGAAAUGAUAUUUUAGUUCAUUUUUUCAAGUUUCUAGGUUGAUAUAUCAAUGACCCAAAAUGAUUAGGACAUGCAUCCCUAUCUAUUGCUCACCCCCUAAGACCAGCAGCAGACCAAAGAAAAGUGACAUGAUCUCAAAGGGAACCAGCUCAUUAUUUGACUUCUGCUGUGUUAGACCGCUCCUGAGUGAUAUAUUAUAAUCUUGUCUCAUGUUCGUCCCAUUCUCAUUUUACUCCAGAAUUCACACUUAACUACAGCAGUCAGCAGCAAUCAUGCUUUCUGUGCAGGAAAACCACAGGUUGAACAGGCCCCACAUGUCUUCGAAGUUAACCAACACUAUUUUUCAUUCUUUUUUCUAGUACAUCUGAACAAUAAUUUGUGAGUGAUUUCAUUAGUAUAUAUCGGUGCAUGUAUGAAUGAUUAAAUGUAUGAUUAUAUGCUGAUUAAUAUAUUAUUCUGAUCUGAUGUUCCUUUUACCAACCCUGUCGUGGUAGUGACAUUUCGUGUAUGAGCAAGCAUAAUUUGCUUGUAAUUUAUGAGCAAGCAUAGAUUAAAUUAAUUAAAGGGUAAUCACAGGAAAAUAUCUUUCAAGUAUUAUGUGUGGUAAAAAAUACACUUUGGGUAAUUAGCUUCAUGUUGGAUUAUAUUACCCCAUUUCACUAUUUUGCUACCAGGUCAAACAUUACCCUUUUUUCUCCUCUCUUGUUACAUUAUUACUAUGAUUAGAGCGUGCACGAAGAGAAGACUUUUGACCUUAUUGUAAUAAAGCUUUGUGAGUAUAUAAUGAGCUCCUUACGCUACGACUGAUGUGUUAGGCGCGUACUAUUAUGAUUGUGAUACUAUAGCUGAGACUCAGUUGAUCAUAGGAGAAAACAAGUCCAACUCACUGCUUUCUAGACUAUUGGAGACUGCCCUUGGCUUCGAAGACAUGACUCAUUUCAUUUUAUUAAUAUGUUUUCUUUGUCAUAAAAUUGUUUUGCUAACUGUGAUGUGCAUUGUUGCUUAAAGAAGGAUCAGAGGUGUACGCUUCUAAGCUUCUCUAGAGUUAACAGCACUUCACACAACAUGAGAAGCGUGAGAUAGAUUAAGGGUCUGUUUGUUUGAGCUGUAGCUUUUGAGCUUUUCUGAGAAACUGCUGUUGCCUUUUAGUUCUGAAAAGCUAACAUUAGCUUUUAGAAGAUGCAUUUAGCUUUCUGAGCUCAGAAAGCUAAAAAAGCUCAUAAAACUGAGUUUUCCAGCUUCCCAUAUAAACUCAGCUUUUCUGAGCUUCCAGCUUUCUGGAAGCUGCGCUAGAAAUUCGUUGUUUGUUUGAUUUUCUAGCUUUUCACGCUGAGAAACUAUCAGGAAGCUCAAACAAAUAGGCUCAGAAACUGUUUUGUCAUGAGCAUGCUAUCUAUUCGAUGUUAUACCUGCAUAGAAAAAGAGCAAAAAUAAAAUCUAUUAAUUUGAGGAAUAAAUAUAAAAGGCUGGUACAUUGUUGGGCCAUGCAAAUACUAAGGUAGUUCUAUGUUACUGAACACGUCCAUUUUUUAAAUAAGACUGACACACAUCUUCAAAUGGACCGUUAUAUUGGAUUACACAAUAGUACCUUGAUUUAAGCAUUUUAUACAUCGAGGUGACUGAGGAAUUACACUGAGAAUCGACAUAUAAAUAUUUAAGCAAUAGAUGUAACACCUUUAAAAAACAAAAAGAGUGAAAAAAGAGAGAUCAAACCGCAUCAUCCGGCCUAGCCCUACGUGACGCCCUAGAACCGAUGCAAUGCUCUACUGAUGGGCUCCACCCUAAUCCAAUUUGUUAAAACUCGAGAAAGGUAAAACAAGUUUAUAUUAAAAACAUCGAGCCAUGAAAGCACAUGAACUAACCUUAUCAUCACCUUUAUUAAGAAAGAUCACAUCUAGCAAGCUGCUCCACAUAUACAAUCAUAAACCCAUGACCCUAAGUUGCCAAGAAGGAAGAUAUUAAAGUACACAAACACAGUACAAUCAUGUAAGCUCAAAUCAGGGAUCUGCAAAUUGUAACCAAGCAACUCGUGUUCCCUUUGAUCCAUAUGGCCGGCCUUUUCACCUGCCCCCCCGCCGGCAACUAAUCAGGAUUGGCCACAGACUAUGGGCAACCACUUGACUUUUGACUUUGAGGUGGGCGUCAAUCAUAUGGGGUCAUGUGACCUAACUAAGUGGUUAUCCUUGCUUGAUCUCGUCUCUUCUUGGUUCAAGGUUUAACUUUCUUAAUUUAGUUCUUUCAUGAUCUUGUAUAUCUUGCUAUUCGGUCACAUGAGAAAAUUACUCUGCAAACCAGCUGAAAAUAUAAGUCUGGCUCUGGCAUUUAGUUUUGUGGGUAGAAAAUAGAAUAAGUGUCACCAUCUCGGCUGUUAGGGUAUAUAAGCACCUAGUAAUUGAGGAUACUAAAACAAACCAUGCAUAAUGGUGGUAAAUAAUCGGGAAUGGAGCAAUUCUGGGUUGGUUGUACGCGUCAUUUAGCACCCAUAAAAUCACUCUCUUAUAGUGAACGCUAAAGUACCCAACUUAAUUUCAGAGGCAAAAGGAAAAUGGUUUCCCUUAAAUUGUCUCCCAAGGUUGACCUUGACACCAUCAAACUUUGGGCAUAAAUCUGUUAGAAUAGAUUAAUUGUGUUACUCUCGUCCCAAAAAUAUAGUUGUUUUUUUAUUUGAAUCCUAAAUACAACAUUCUUUCUUUCACCAACAUUGUCUCUAAAAAUAACUUAUUCAAAUAGAAAAAAAUUACAUAUUAUGAUAGUUGCUUUCAUGAUGAAUCUUCUAACAUCAUUUUUCACAUUGCCAAUCUUUAUAAUAUUUUUUUUACUAUUCACAGUCAAAGUUAAAAUGGUUUGACUUAAGAUAAACCUAAAUGCAGGGAUGGAGGGAUCCGUUACCAUGGCCACAAUACAUGAAAGUGCUCAGGUGUCAUGAGUUCCAUAUAUGACACACUUAACAAUAUAGUUCCAUACCGAUAUGAUGGAUGUAAUUGUUUGUAUAAAAAAAAGCACUUUGCGAGUACAACAGAUCGGGAGUUCCAUCUUUUCCCUGCAUCAAGUUGAAGAGUGCUGGUCUGCUGAAUGAGCAUGAUGGCCCUAGACAGAGCUAGCCUGCUUUAGUCCUUUUAUGUGACGACUGACGUCUGACUGGUCACGACGAUGUCGACGUAUCCGUGGUACGUUGCACUGAUCCAUUAACUCAUCAGAACGCCACAUGAUCAGCUCCAAAAGACACUGGUGUGCAGCAAGGUGGUGGAGUCAAUUCAUCCACUGGGGAUUCCUUGUUGUAACCAAACAGACAGAAAAGAACAAGCUUCCAUUUAUCCCGGCUUUCACGCAUCGAAUGGAACAUUCUUUCUUUUACACUAUAAUGAAAAGCAUUUGCAGUCCCCGGUCAUGCUGCUGGUUAGCAGCUUAAUCGGGCGUCAAGCCGUUCAUGAUUAUUCAAUCAAAACAUGUCAUCAACAUCAACACCAACAUACAAAUCCAACACUCUCCACAAAUAAAACGGUCAAGCAGCGCCCUCCUGAUCAGUAGUGGUUGCCGUUGAGCCUCCUGCAGUUCUUCCUGACCUCCCCCUGCGCCCCGGUGAGCGGCGAGACGUUGCCCAUCUUCACCAUCGACUGCGCGAAGUGCUGGAAGAAGAAGUUGACGUCGGCGGCGUAGGCCUUGACGAGCGCCGCCGUCUCGGCGCUCUUCGUCAGCAGGACCUCGUCGGAGCUGAGCAGGCCCUUGCCGACGAGGAGGUUCUUGAAGUAAUAGUUGUCGAACUUGGUGGGGGUGGCGAGGUCCAGCGGGAAGAGGUUGUCGUCGCCGCCGGAGCGCGGGCAGCCCUGCCUCAGGUGCGCGGCGUAGGAGGCGUCCAGCGUGAAGUCGGCCAUGCCGUUGCCCGUCUGGUUGUACAGCCGCUGCCGGAAGCUGGUGCAGCGGGAGAGGCCGAUGGUGUGGGCGCCGGAGAGCGCGACGACGUCGACGACGUCGAGGCCCUGGCGCCGGAACUUGGUGAUGAUGGUGGGGAGGGUGUUGUUGGGCGCCGGGAUGUCGUUGUUGGAGCCCUGGAUGCUGGCGCCCAGCGAGUCCCGCCGCCCCAGCGGCACGUCCCAGUAGGGGCCGCCAACCUGCGGCCGGGGUCAGUAGCUAGUUGAGAUCACUAAGAAUAUAUAUAAUAAUCGCGGUCGUUUCUGCUGCUUACAAGGAGGGUGGAGUCGCGGGCGGCGAGGGCGAGGAUGUCGGCGCAGGAGACGGUGCCGGGGCAGGCGUGCUCCAGGGCGACCUUGAUCUCGUCGAUCACCUCGAAUCCUCUGGCGGAGUUCCUGUUGGGGUUGGACCCUUUCUCGCUCACGAUGCCGGUGCUGUUGUCCAGCAGUAUAGAGGCGUCGCAUCCCUGCACACAGAGAAAGAUAGUGACAGAGAAGAUUACUAGUUAGAUUAGGCGCAUGAGAGUCAUUAGAAACAUGCCUUGAAUGGAAUAUCAAAAUUUCACACAUGUGGAGGCUGUCAAUUAUUGUGUAGUCAUAUUUUUUUCAUAGUAGAUAAUUAAAUAAACGAAGGAUUGAUGAACCAUGGUACAAAUAAAGUGGCGUGCUCCUCUUGGAAAUGUAGGUAGGCUAUCUUAUCACUGGUACGGUAAAAGAAAAGUUAGCCUAGGAACUGCAGAUUCUUCCAUGCUGACUUUUCCAAUACCUACGCACAUAUAUAGAAAAAAAGUUGGAGUUGUAGACUGCACUUUAAGUGAUGUGUUUAUGCAGAUGAAGUUGGUAAAUAGGCACAAUAAUCAUUGAAUUUUUAGUGCUUCAUCAUAUGUUUGUUUGGAUUUCAAAAUAAUUUUGUACGGAUCACGUACAGUUCCAUUGUACUAAACACAGAAGCCAAAACUUUAUGGUACGAAACGUUGCUGAUUAGCUAUAGUGCGCUUCGGGAACUACAAGUUUAUCAGGCGUCACAAUAGUGCAAAACAUGCAAACAAUAAGAUACAGUAGCAAAGAGCUAGGAAAGCAGUAGCAACCUGGACAAAGCAGUCAUGGAAAUGCAGCCUGACGAGCGAGGCCGCCAUCCUAGUCUCCCUGGCGACGGCCUGCGCCACGAUGGACUUCACGAUCUCCUUCGCCUGGGGGCACGAGUGGUCGUAGAACUGCGGGAACAGGCCGCCCCACGGGUGGCCAUGGACGCCGCCGGCGAGGAGGAGGGGAGCGACGAGGAGGCAGGUGAGGAGGACGAGGCGACCAUCCAUGGAAGCCGCCAUGGGAGCGAAGUGACCCAACAGAUCUUCUUGCACAGUGCUCUGAAACUCACAAGUAGAGAAGAGAGCUUCUGUGCUCUGGAUGGCCAGAUGAGAUGGGCUUUGGGUGCUAUUUAUAGCUGGAGGGAGGCAGCUAGCAUGUGUGUAACGAAGGGAAGGUGGUUAGGGAUUUGUUAGGGUGAUGCUUAUAGAAUAAGAGGGUGAGCAAACGAGCGAGCUAGGUCGACUCCACAUUGUGUCCAACUGCUACGGUUGUUCUUCCAUCUGGCUGCAAGUAUGACUGUUGAUGCCUCAGUUUUAGCUGACAUUUUGACUGUUGAUGCUUCAGUUUUAACCGAAAUUUGCAUGGACAGCAUUGAGCUUCUAGUCCCAAAUAAUUGUAGGCGAAGAAAUCGUUUCUGAUCAGGUGAGACAUUUUUCCACUCAGAAGCGACAAGUCAGCAGUAGGUACAGUACGGUUACAGGUUACUGCAGAAACAGCAAGUGCUGCUUAAACAGGAUUGAACUGAAAUAAAGAAUAUUGUUUCGCCCAGCAAAAAAAAAAAACACUGAGAAGAAGAUAUGAUGGAUUGCUGAUUAUGCUGAUCAUAUAGCUAGGGGCUAGGCACAAUGAUAGAAUAUGCAACUUUCUGUCUAUAAAUUGAUCAGUUGAAUAUGUCCUCUGCAGCAUACAAGAGCCCCCUUCCGGGAAAUCUAGCUACAGCAAAAUUAGGCAGCUUUACAGUAGAUUAGUGGUAGAUAUCAGUUCGUCCCAGUAGUAAUAUAUUCACCCGAACUAUAUAACCUCGCUUAUUAACAGUUUAACACUAUGUGAAACCAAGCAACCAAAGUUCAGAGGAGCCUCGGCGAAAAGCAUGGUUUUGCUUCAUAGUUAGUCCAGCUUCUUUUGUUAUACACAAGGGUUGUUACAGUUUGAACUUAAUUUACUAUAUUAAUGACGACCAUAUGCAGACUAUGCCCCUGGUUUCUUUGGUUUUUAAUGGUUCGGUCAUCAUUGAACACGUAUCAGUAUCCCUGUCUUUGUGGAAAUGAUAAUGAAAGGUACACAAGCUUCUGGGAUUCAAGAUGAGUAGUGAGUAGCGUCUAAGAUUUUCCAUUUAUUCGUCAUGGUUCCAUACAUCAGAGUUCUACUGCCAAAUUAGGGUAGUUUUGCCGUGUUACAUUAGCUAGGUGAGGAUCACUACAUGAAAGAUGGGGAAUGGCUUGUCAAACGGCUGUGCACAACAUGCUUAACAUGGUUGCAUUGCAUUAUUCUGUGUUCAAUCCAGGGGUCUAAAAAUAAGUGACUGAUUUUCCCAGGGGACACAAGUACACAGACCAAUCCAGGCGAUAUGAUGUGGUGUACCAACUCUGAGCCACACGGCGCGUGAUGAUCCGUGUGUUAGGUGCUCGCAUGGCCUACAUUCUUGUCACGAGAGCAGCAGCAGGUUCCUGGAAGGACUUAGCUUGGAUGUUGUUUGUUUGAAAGCUUCCAAACUCAAACAGGUCGGGAGAAAGCUUGGUUCUUCCGUGCAGCACGUAUCAGUGGCCGGUUCCUUCAAGGAACAAAACAACAGCGUGCUUUGUUACUGUCAGCAUACUUUUUUUUAGGGCAGUUACUGUCAGAAGAUUUUUUUUAGGGUAGUUACUGUCAGAAGACUUCAGAGGCAUGCAUGCACAUCUGUAGUUUGUCAUGAAUGCAUUGCAAAGAGCAGAUAGGUUCGUGGCUUCUUGCAUAUGGUAGAGGAGUAAAAUUUUAUAUCCCUAGCAACUAUACUGAUAGCAUGUUACAUGCCUCAAAAGAGGUCACAAACUUUUAGCAUCCCAAGCAACUGCUGAACCCUGGAGGAGACCAAAAAAAAAAGUGACAUGGACAAGGUUACCUGCUCAUUUGACUAGGCUCCUGAUUCAUAGCUGUCUUAUGUUCUCCUCCUCCCCUUUCCCGGUCUACUCUGGUAAUUUACUCUUACCAACAUUUCUGAGAAGAAAGGGCCAAAGUUUUAGUAGGUAGGCAAGCAUUAUUUAUUUUUUGUCAUGCAUCAGCUGAAAAUAAUUUGUCUAUGAUUUCUUAGUAAGUCAGUGGAAGCUGCCAUGAAUAAUUAAAGGAAACUAUUACGUAACCGAUCGAACUCUAAAUAAAGAAAACAACUACUCCCUCCAUUCCAAAUUGUAGGUCGUUUUAGCUUUUCUAAAUUUAUAGAUAUUAUUAUGCAUCUAGACAUAUACUAUAUCUAGAUAUGAUGUUAUUCUGAUAUGUUAUUACGCAACUGAUCGGAGAGCUGUUUAAUGUAUAUGUUAUUCUGAUAUGAUGUUUCUUCUACCAAACCCGGAUGUGGUGGCCAGAUUUUGUGUGCCCCUCACAGGGAUAUGCUUGUAAUUUGUAAGCAAGCAUUGAUUAAAAAAGAAGGCAUUAUAUUCGUUGGCAAAUAUCUUUUAAUUUAUUUUAUGUGGCCCAGAACACUUUGAUUAGGUUCAUAAUUAUAAUGUGUUAUAUUACCAUAUUUCACCAAUUUGGUCAAAGCAUUACCUUUUUUCUCUUGAUGUUACAUUAGUUAUGAUUAGAACAUCCAUAGAAGAUGUUUGGCCUUAUUUUGAAUAAAUCUAUAGCGAGGAAAUGUAAAUCGUCUAACAAUUCCGUUCAGAUCACUGUUAUGAUUAUGAUGCUGCUAGUUGUAUGUGUGUAUGUGAUGGUCGUCGAAGAAUACUUUGUUGACUAUCGGGAGACUACCCUUGGCUUCAAAGGGAUGACUUCAUUUCAGUUUAUCCAUGUGUUUUGUUUGACAUAUUGCAAAAGUGGUAUUGUUUGACAGGAUUAUAAUGCUGCUAUUCUGUGAAGCAUGACGUGUUGUUGCUUAAGGUAGGGUCCAGAUGUGUUUUUUCCUAGGCUUCUGGAAAAUUAACAGCACUUUACUCAAUCUCUGAAGCACGCGAUUAACAUCAGAAACUGUCGUUACAAGCCCGAUCCUUCCGCUGGUGCCACCGCAUGCUGACUUUGACUGCUUGUAAAAAGGUGAGCAGUAGAAGCUAAUCCUAGUUUAGAAUGAUAGUACUUGUGCAUUGACAACUCCCUGCACAGAUCUGCAGCCACCUUCACCGGAUCUGCCAAUCUCCAAGCUCGUUGAGUCAACACAGCCUCCAAGCUUGUCAGCUUCUAAUCCGGUUGCUUUGUGGCCCGGAUCUGCGUUUUGCCCCUCAGAAUAAUGUGUCGGUAGUGAUUUAUUUUGUUCAACUCCACAUUUUUCGCACUUUUAAGAGAUUUUGCCUGAGCGAUUUUCUUAUUUGCAGAUGAGUGGAGAAACCAUUAUUUGUCAUUCGAGAUGUUUGCUCGUGCUAGCAGUUGCUUUCAAGCUACAGGUAUAUGAUAGAUUUCAUAAACAGAUUAGACUGCAGUUUUGUGUAACCAUUAUUUGUCAUUUGCGUUAACCUAUUUUGGUGUAACCAUUAUUUGUCAUUUGCCUUAUCCUAUUUUGGUGUAACCAUUAUUUGUCAUUUGCUUUAUCCUAUUUUGCAUUGGACAACAUCAGCAUCAUAUCUUUGGUUGCAUUUCACUGAUUAAUGCUUAUGUAAUAUCUUUAGUUGCCUUAUUGCUAACUUAGAAAUAUUAUUGUUUACCAUAUCUGAGAAUUCUUGUUAUCUGCACUUGCAUUUUUUCCUUUUAGCUCUAACGCUCAAAAUUGCUGAUUCAUGGUUUCAUGUUGCAGAACACAAUACACAAGGAUUAAUGCAUUAUUUGGACAAGAACAUAUGUUUUUGAGUGAGCAUGCAGGUAUAAUUUUGUGUCAGAUAAAAUAUAUGGAGAAACUUAUGGCUCCGGUAUGCUUACAGUCAUAAUUCUAAUAACUGAUAUAAAGUAUGGCACAAUGAUAGAAAAUAUGCUUGAUUCAUGCAUGAUCUCAAUGCUUCUGUCUUUUCUUUCAAAUAAAGUAUGCCUCCAACUGUUCGCUAUGAUGCAAUACUACUACUGUCAUUUACCCUUGUGAUUUCUGAAAAAAUUUCAUGCAACAAGUGUCGAUGUCUAUAUUAUGAUGUAUUACAAUUAAGAUAGUGUUUGGUUCGUGCUAAGGUAAUGUAAACGCUAAGGGAAUCAGAUUACAGUGUAUUUGAAGGUGGAAUAGGUGAUUGCCCUCUUUGUUUGGUUGCACUCUGGUAACGUAAUCAGAUUGCUGUGUGGGUGCUAUAUCUGAUUACGGUGGGGGAGGAGGGGUAACAAGCUUGUAUAGAUAUUAUUUAGGUAAGGGAUUCGAUUACAGUGUCAAUUGAUUACAAACCACCGUAACCAAACAUAUGUAAUGGGAUUCGUUACCUUCAAUAAUCAGAUUACGUUACGUUUGAGCCAACCAAACACUACCUAAGUUGUUGUGGCUUCUUCUUACAAUGUUGCCUUAAUAAGUUAAUGUUUAGUUCCUUUUCACAUGCAAGGAAAGAAGACGACUGAAAAUGGUUCAUCUCAAUCGUGUUGAACACAGGUCCACAUGUAUGUCAUCGAUGAUGUGUGUUUUUCACUUUCUAUGAAAUGAGAUGUAGACAGCCACAUUUGAUAUGUAUGUGCUGCGAAUUUAUUGAAAAAUAAUGAUUGCUUCUAUGGAUUGUACAAAGGUAUAAGCCUUUUCAUUGAAAUUGCUUGUAUGGAUUGUACAGAGGUAUAAACCUUUUGAUUGAAAUUAGCUAUAUGUGCAAUGUAUCUGUUUGUGAUUGAAUUUGCCAUGUCAGUUGAAUAUUUGAAUGAGGUAAUUUGUGUAUUGGACUUUCUCUUUUUUUUAGUCUUUUAGUUGGGUUUUCCCUGUGUGGCAACUGACAGAGAAAAUACUUUAACCUGUCGGUUCCUGACGCUUUGCCAAACCUGACUACAUGGAGAUUCCCUGUGAGGAAACCGUCAGGGAAUAUCCGUCAGAAAAAUAUGUUCUGACGGAAGAUUGACAGGCAAAUUUAUUUUCUGUGUCGAUCUAUCCCUGUCAGGAUUUGCCUGUCGGUUGGCCGACAGAAAUAAUUUUUCUGACCGUUUUCCCAUAUUUUUCUGACGGGAUUGGGUACACAGGAAAAAAGUAGUUUCUAGUAGUGACAAGGCAUAGCUUAUUAGGGAAGAAGAGGUCACAUCUUAUAACAAAAGGAGUGAAAAGGAAAAGAGAUAUAACCUUUUUCACUGCAUUAGUUGUUCCAAAUGUCUUUUUAUUAUAAGCAAAAUCCUAAAUAAUACUUAUAAUUAUUUGACUGACUUAUAUUUAUGUUCAUAUGGAUAAAAAAAGUUCAUAUAACUUCAGCCUAUGUGGCUGACUAGGCCGGCAACAAUCAAAACGAACUCAAAAUAUAAUCCAAUUUGUUAAACAAAGGCAAAACGAGCUCAAAACGCAUUGAGCCACGAAACCACAUGUCCAUAAACUAACCUUAUCACCAUCACCAUUUUAUUAAGCCAAAUCACACUCACACCUAUCUACCCGUCUACUCCAUAUUCAAUCAUAAACUCCCAUAACCCUAAAUUCACAGAAAAGGAAGAAACUAGAGUAGUACACACUGCCCAAACACAGCCAUGUAAUCUCUAAUCUCGAAGGAGGCUCUACAAUAAGCAGUAGUACUGUACCAACUACACAUGGGGCCUGCCUAUCGUAACAAACUCUUGCGUCUGCUUCCAUCUGGCUGUACGGUCUUUUCAACUGCUUCCUGCAGUCAACAAAUCAGCAUUGGCCACGAAAUCUGGACAACCACUCGACUUUUGAGAUGGGCGUCAAUCACAUGGGACCUAUCUAAAGCGGUUACAAUUUUGCUUGAUCAAUGCAUGUUUCUCAUCUCUUCUUCUUCUUGGGUCAAGGUUUAAUUUAUCUUCUUUUGGCUAUAUCCUUUCCAUGAUCUACCUCGCUCAUGUUUCGUACGAGAAAUUAAGAUUACUUUGCAAGCAAAAGAUAAGGUUUGGUAUUUUACUGGUGCAAUGUAGUAGUCAUCGUUUUUCUUGUUGUGGUAUACAUCUAGUGAUCGUGAGUGUGGAACAAACGUAUUGAUCAUAAUACCAAAACUGUGCGAAUUUGGUAAUGGUUGCCAUCAGGUACCUAGACCAUCGGAGCUCAAAUCUAGGCGACUACCUCUUUUCUUUCAGUUAACGCACAAGUUCGUAUGUGCUGAUGUAUAUACUAUAUAUCUCCUCCAUCGCUUAUUAUAAGCACUACAAGAAACACCCCCCUAUAGAUACGUUUUAUUUUUAGGUUAGAUACGCUUUAUUUCAUCUCUAGUGAAUUAUAGAUACGCUUCACUAAAGCGUGUCUGGAGCGUCUCCCCAUGGACCAUGUCAAGAACUAUAAACACGUUUUGUCAAACGUGUCUACAAUUCGGAAACAACACUUUAAAAACGUAUCUACGUUGCAAGUUUUGAAGUGCUUUACUAAAGUAUGUUAACAACCAUAUCUACUGACGGGAGCAUAAGAAAUAUAGAUACGCUUUCAAUAGCAUAGCAAUCCAAGCGUGGCUGUUUUGUUGUAGUGAAGGUGUGGUUUGUCUUGACACGGUCCAUGAAUUAAAAUAAACUUUUGACUGUUCUAUAUUUACAUGAUUUACCUAUGUGGAGCAUGACCCACUUUGUGAUAUGUGAGUCAAGAUCAUGAUCAUGAUGGAUGCGGAACUCGGGAAGCACAGUAGCAUGACACACUAGCAUGAGAUUGACGACCUUUGCAUCAUAGUUUGUCAUAUGUAGGAGUUUGCCCUUGCUGUUUACUAGAAAAACAAAUAGAGUCCUCGCGAGGCUUUUUUUUAUAUAAAAAAAACUGAGGUUGCGAGCUUCUCUUUACUUCUUUAGUCUUUCCAUUAGGGGUGGCUGCUAAUCCUCUUGAGAAAGAGAGGAGAAUAACCAAACAAGGUCUAUGGGGUGACUGCUAAGCUUCUGUUCCCAGAGGGGUUUUGCGCGCAGGAAGGAGGCCAGAUGCCAGGUUGGCCGGCACCUGGCUCUGCCACGUGGAUGCAAUGCCACUCACGAUUCACUACACGCUUCCUUUGACAGCGAUGGACGGCCCUCAUCCGUUGACCAGAGGAGACUAUAGCCCGUCAGUUACACCCAUGCAGCCAUGCUAACAAACUUGCUCGCCAACCAACUUACAUACCCAGCUCAGGUGGCUGACCCUUUCCUUCCGUCCGUUCCAGUCCCACCGUCCCACGGAGGGUGGCGAGCUGGUGCAUGCGUCCUAACCUGAUCGACGACGACGCACUGCUGGCCGCGGACCGCUGCCCGCUGCUACUCGGCUGCCAGAUCGUACAUGACGCGCUAGCUUUGCCAUAGCACGUAGGCGUGUGGGCAAAGACGCAAACGCGUCAUGUGCUGCCUGCCCUGCCCGUCUGCCCGUGCCCGGGUACAUCGUCAUAGCGUGACGCCAAGUGAGAUUUCCGCUCAGCGUCGGUGACCUUGUCCUCCCGUGGGUCAAAGGCUCGGGAAAGGCCACGCACGCCGACAACGCCGGCCAAGGACGACGCGACGGGCAGGUUGAUGGCUGGCGGGAGUGGUUGCCAUCAGGGCACCAGCGAUGUAUGGUACCGCACCUGGUCUGGGUUCCACAUGGAUGUAAUGUUAACUGCUAUUUUGCAGACAAUGUGUAGAAACGAGCAGCUGAAUCCAUGCGUAGGACCUGCUCGAUUAAAAAAACAGCUGCUCGGUUAAACUUGAAUCGGCGCUACUGUUAAGUUGGUGUCAGAGUUUCGAGUUAUUUUAUUCGCUGGUACCCGAUUCCAUACGGGUUCUCCUUGGAAGCACACCCCAACUCCCAACUUUGACACUAUGCAAAAAGAAGAUUCCCAAUCACAUCAAACUUGCGGUACAUGCAUGGAGUACUAAAUGUAGACGAAAUUAAAAACUAAUUGUACAGUUUUGUUGUACUUUGCAAGACGAAUCUUUUGAGCCUAAUUAAUCAAUGUUUGGACAAUAAUUCACAAAUACAAACGAAACGCUAUAGUGUGCUACAGUGCUGGCACAGUAAUUUGGACACUCCAAAUUUUAGCACCUAAACAAGGCCUAAUUGUAUAGGAUCAGAUUUUCCUGCCCAUUGGAGAGGUCCUCAUGCAUGCAUUGCUGCAGCUGAAAAUUCCGGCGCGGCCUUAAUGCUGGCCAGGGCCGGGCGUAGUCGACUGACUCCACUCACAGUGCUGAUGCGACGAGCUACAUCGAGGCUGGUGCCCUGGAGCAGAGAUUGAACCAACUAACCGUUUGGAUCUCAGCCACUGUACGUGCACUUCCGACGAAGUAGCAACAGUAUGUAACCUUUCUUCCUGAUGACAAAAUUGCUUGUUCAGAUAACAUGCCACUUCCAGGAAGGAGACUGCAAAACCAUCGGCCUUGCAAGAGCAAGCUAGCACAUCUUCUGUCAGUAACACACUACUAUCUGCUAGCUGCUUAGAGUAGUGCUUACAGCUGGGGUUGUCAUUACUGCUUUGCUUUACUGCUGCCAGUGUACGAUCACUUGAAACUGCUUGCAACUCUGGCGCAGUUGCAAGUACAGCGUUCCAUUUGUUAGGAAUAAUCAGCAUGUAUUCCCAGGGGGCCAAUAGACCCAUAUAAGUAGAGUACAGGUGGUAGUACAUAUACACAGAACCCCUUGUACAAUGGGAUAAAUACACAAAGGAAACAUAUCUCUAACACCCCCCUCAAACUCAUGGUGGAUCUACAACACUGAGUUUGGAGAGAAAGUAACUAUGCUGUGCACGAGUCUGUGCCUUCGUGAAGAAGUCAGCGACCUGGAGCUCCGAAGGCACAUACUGAAGAACAACCACCUGAUCCUGAACCUGAGACCGAACAAAGAAGGCAUCAACACCAAUAUGCUUGGUAAGCUCAUGCUUCACCGGAUCCCGAGCAAUAUUGAUAGCCCCCGUGCUGUCAGAGUGAAGAGGAGUCGGUCCAGUCAAAGAAACACCAAAAUCCUCAAGUAGCCACCGUAACCAGGAGAGCUCUGCUGUCAACAAUGCCAUAGCACGCAACUCAGCCUCUGCACUAGAACGGGAAACCGCGGUUUGCUUCUUAGUCUUCCAAGCAAUGAGAGAACCACCCAAGAAAACACAGUAAGCAGAAAUGGACCGGCGAUCAGAGGGAUCACUAGCCCAUGUAGCAUCAGAGUAAGCAUGAAGCUGCAAGGAAUUGGAGCGUGGAAAGAAAAGACGGCGAGAGCUAGUGACACGCAGGUAGCGCAGAACACGAAGAAGAUGACUGUAGUGAAUAUGUGUGGGGGCGGAAACAAACUGACUGAGAAUAUGUACGGCAUGAGAAAUAUCCGGACGAGUGACACCAAGAUAGACCAAACUCCCAACAAGAUGGCGAUAGCGGGUAGGAUCUGCCAAAGGCUCACCAUCAGUAGGACGAAGCUGGAGGUUAAGCUCCAUCGGGGUGUCAACCGUACGCUCAUCAGUCAGAGAGGCUCGAGCGAGAAGAUCAUGAAUGUACUUCUCCUGGGAUAAGAAGAAACCAUCAGACGAAGAGGAAACCUCGAUCCCAAGAAAAUAGCGAAGAGGACCAAGAUCAGACAUGAGAAACUGCUCACAAAGCCGAGCCUUGACAAAGGCAAUAAACUGAGAAUCAUCCCCUGUGAUAAUCAUAUCAUCAACAUAUAGGAGAAGAAGAGUACGACCACGAGGAGAAGAGUGGAUGAAGAGCGCAGGAUCAUGGUCACUAGCAGAGAAACCAGCAGCAGUGACAACAGAAGAGAAACGCUCAAACCAAGCUCGAGGGGCUUGUUUAAGGCCAUACAAAGAACGACGAAGAUGACAAACCAUGCCUUCUGGAACAGAAUACCCCGAAGGCGGCUGCAUAUAGACAUCCUCACGCAACUCACCAUUAAGGAAAGCAUUCUUGACAUCAAGCUGAGAGAUCGACCACUGACGAACAGAAGCAACAGCAAGGAGAGUACGAACAGUGGUCAUAUGAGCAACCGGAGCAAAAGUCUCAUCGAAAUCACGACCAUGCUCCUGCUGAAAACCACGAGCCACAAGACGUGCCUUGUACCUCUCAAGAGAACCAUCAGAGCGAGUUUUGACUUUGUAUACCCACUUGCACGUGAUAGGGCGAAUGCGAGGAGGAAGAGGAACAAGUUCCCAGGUACCAGUACGCUCAAGAGCAGCUAACUCUGCCGCCAUCGCCUCCUGCCACUCAGGAUGAAGGAUAGCAUCGCGAUAUGAAGUCGGCUCAGAAAGGACAGUAGAAGAAAAAGCAACGGGAUCGUACCGAGCAGGAGGCCGACGAACUCGACAACCACGUCCAAGAAGCGGCUCAAGCGCAGGCGAAGGAGGGGUGUCAGAAGAAGAUGCCGAAACAUCAGGAGAAGAAUCAUGCGGAGAGGACACAACCCGUCGUGUAUAGACAUGUGUCACUGGAGGCUUCACGGAAUAGUCAGGAACCAAAGGAGAAGGCUCAGAAGAUGAAACCACAGAAGAAGGCAAAAUAGAAGGGGACUCUGUAGGCAAAGGUACAAGGCUCGAAGGAGGCAGAAAAGCAAUAGGUGUAUCGGGGAAAGUCAAGAAAGAAAGCGGCUCGACCAAAGACGACUGUGAAUCAUCAGAGGAAGGACGAGGAUAAAAUGGACGAGACUCAUCAAAGACAACGUCGCGAGAAAUCCGCAUCCGACGACUGACCGGAUCCCAGCAACGAUAUCCCUUAUGCUCAGAACUGUAGCCUAGGAAAACACACUCAACAGACUGUGAAGUUAGUUUGGUACGCUCCCGAGGUGGAAGAAGAACAUAGCAAACACAACCAAACAGUCUAAGCGAAGAGUAGUCAGGUAGACGUCCAAAAAGAUGCUCAAACGGAAUCCCCCCCUGAAGGGCAGUGGAAGGCUGAAUGUUAAUAAGAUGUGUGGCAGUAGAGACAGCCUCAGCCCAAAAAUGAGGAGGAACAAAGGAGGCAAUCAUGAGUGCACGCGUGGUCUCAAGGAGGUGACGAUGUUUGCGCUCGGCUACACCAUUCUGCGCAUGGGCACCAGGACAAGAAAAUUGAGGAAGGGUUCCCUGAGAGUCGAGGAAAGCACGGAGAGAUCGAGAAAGGAACUCGCCAGCAGAAUCAGCACGGAAAGCACGAAUAGACGUGGCAAACUGAGAACGAAUCAUAGUAGCAAAGCGUCGAUAUAUGGGUAGAACCUCGCUACGAGAGGACAUAAGAUAAAUCCAAGUAUAGCGAGAGAAAUCAUCAAUAAAAAUGAUAUAGUAUCUGUGACCCCCUUUUGAAGAAAAGGGAGCAGGACCCCAUACAUCUGAGUGGACUAAAUCAAAAGGACGCUGAGAGACAGACUCACUACUAUGAUAAGGAAGCUGAAUAUGCUUUCCCAAGCGACAACCUUGACACGAAUGAAGAGAAACAUCUCCUGAGAUAGGACCAAGAAGACCACGAUGAACUAAUGAAGAUAAUCGAGAUCCACAGACAUGACCAAGACGAUGAUGCCAUUGCUGAAAUGUGCCUGUGGAAGAAGAAGUAGCAAGACUAGCAGCAGCGGAAGGAAGACGAAGCCAGUCAAGCUGCCAAAGGCGUUGAGAGUCACGGAGCCGACGGCCAGUACCAAUCAGGGACCCCGUGCGACGAUCCUGAACAAAACAAGAAUCAGAAUCAAGGAUAACACGACAAUCAUGGUCGGUGAUCUGACCUGCGGACAUGAGCUGCAAGGUGAGUUGGGGAACAUAAGAAACAGAAGGAACAUGAAAAGAAGAAGUCUCAAGAGAUCCCCGACCAGCAACAGGAAGAGAAGUACCAUCCGCAGUGAGUACAGAAAUAGGUGACGAAGGAGAAUGUAAGGAAGAAAGAAUGGAAGAGUCUGAAGUCAUAUGAAAAGAAGCCCCAGAAUCAAGGAUCCAUGGAAGAGUACCUGACUGUGAAGAGGGUGGUCUCUCAAUGCUGGAAGACACCGUAGCAGAACCAGCAGAACCAGUAGCAGCAGAAGGGGAGGAGACGCACAAGUGACGAAGCAGCCGUAGAAUCUCCUGCUGAGUACUGUCAGUAGUCGAAGACGAAGCAGGAGACGUAGUAGACGACGAAGCCGGAGAAGAAGCACCAGGAGGACGACGAUGAUGCUUCUUCUUCCUGUAGCACUGGGACUCCCAAUGGCCAGCACGAUCACAAUAAUCACAGUAAGGACGGCCUUUACCAGAUGACGGAGCACGUGAAGCAGCAGCCGAAGAAGCUGUCGUCGAAGGAGCUGAUGUAGAAGACCCCGUAGGUGAGGCCACAAGCACUGUGGGCACUGGAGGAAGCGGCAGAAGACCAGCAUCACGAAGACGAGUCUCCUCGGAGCGAACAGCAGUGAGCACCUCCACGAGUGAGACACGAGGGUGCCGUGCAAGUAGCUGAGCACGGCACUGCUCGUACUCCGAUCGAAGCCGAGUGAGGAACUCGUAGACACGCCGGAAGUCGCGCUCAGCUCGGAGAGCACGACAGCAGUCACAGGUACGACAGCCAGCAGUGCAGAGAGUGUCCAACUGGCGCCAUAUAGCAGACAUCUGAGCAUAAAAGGCAUCAACAGUCAAAUCUCCCUGCUGAAGUGUUUGCUCCUGACGAACCACUGAAAGGUAGAGGGCAUCUCCAGACGGCGCAUAGCAACGACGAAGAUGAGACCACAUCUCAAAAGCAGUAGACAAACCAACAAUCUCAGAAGCAAACGGAGAAUGCAUGCUGGCGACGAGGAUAGAAGCAGCACGAGCAUCAUCAUCAACCCACUGAGUGUACAAUGUCAGCUGAUCACGAUACAGAUCCAAGGCCUCCUGAUAUGCAGUAACAUUCUUGUCAUAGGCUGAGGAAGCAGCAGGAUCCUUCGUCGAGUCAGAAGGAGGCACAGGCUCUUGAGGCGGAGCCGCAACAACAGGGCAGCGAAGAUCACCACAGAGAACACCCCAGAGACGAAGACCGCGCAUGUGCACCCUCAUAUGCUGUAUAAAAUCCGUGUAAUUGGUGCCAUCGAAGAGCACCGAACAGCGAGGAACAGAGAUGGUGCUACCUGUAGAAGCC
rnacentral:lncRNA from 1 species